ACAAUAAAUAAAAAGCUACUCAAGAGAAGGGGAGGCAAGUCGUAACAUGGUAAGUGUACCGGAAGGUGCACUUGGAAUAUAUAAGAGUAUAGCUAAGAAG
rnacentral:rRNA from 1 species